CUAAAACAAACUGGGUGAGGAGCCUCCGGCCAGAGCAGAGGCCGUCUCCCCGGGGACAGCAGGCCCAGGCCCGGCAAGGCAGGGCUGUGAAACACUGAACUGACACAGCCGCUCCCACCCCCUCCAGCCAGGCGUCUCACUGGAGGUCAGCCCACUUCAGGACACACAGUACAGAAAGGAGAAGAGCCGGUCCCUCAAAAGUCUCACUGCAUUUUCUGAUCUGUUCAGAACAGAUCUACAGUACAGCUGUCUGGAACGAAAUCACUGGAUGUCACAGCACAGGAACAGCUGUAGUUCCAGCUGAGGGACAGGAACUUCAGGCUCUGAAAAGCAGUGAAGACUACUCCCAAGCUGUACAUCUAAAUCAGAAUAUCGCUCUGAUUCAGCACAGAACGUGAUUGCUUCUCUUCCUAGCUGACAAAAACAGAGCAGGUGUGGUUGUCAACACAUUGUCUGGAGACAGAGUAUGUGGUAGGAGCAAAACCUCAGGCCAGACGUGCUACAUUUUUCACUUGAAAAGUUGUCAGAAACUGGCUUCUUCUAGUGAACUGUAGGUUGUGUGAAUGUGUGGAAUGCUCAUUAAGUCAUGAACAGUGAUGGAUCACAGCCGAAUUUUGCACUCUGUGAUUUAUAUUACUGAGAAAUCAGGGCCCAGAGGCUAAAUUAACUCAAAUCCCAUUGUGCAAACAGUGUUAUCACAAUCAUUCAGAACAAGGAGGUGGAAUCCCUGUGCUGGCUGUUUGAUAAGCCACUGGAAUAUUCACCUAGAGGUACUGUUCAAAUAUUUGACUAAUAAAUUCACAAGGCCAUUGACAUGUGGGCAGCAAACUGCUUCUGGCUCUAAAUGAAACUUUAUCUUCUAGUUAACCAUCUCUCUUUAACUACACAUUACUACAGGUUUAACUUAUGAAGGUAAAAGAGUUAAUUCAAGUAAAAACCUGAUUAUUGCUAAAUGCAUAUCGUAAAACAUACAGUUCCAUUUUUUUUUUACCGCUACUUUUUACAGCAUUGAAUGAGAUAAAAAUACAGCCUCUAAUGACCCACUAGAUCAUUUUUUAUGUCGACUAAUUUCUUUAUGGUCUACUGAUGGCUUACUGUAUGUGCAAGUUUUACUCAAAGCUGAAAGUCUGGUUUAAAACAACUUUCCCCGAGGAAAACAAGAAAGUCCAAUUUCUCGUCCAUCAGGUUGGGGCUACCUUAACUGGAACUGCACAGCAGAUCUUUUAAAUACGAGGAGCACAGAAAGAGAACGACGUUCAAACCAGGUGAAACGCACAAGUGGGGCGUGGACCGUCAGUGUUUUACUGUGAGCAACCCUCAUGUACUGCAGAGUACGACAAGCUCAGCGUUUUGACCGUUUUCAGCACCAUUUAAACUGCAGUUAAAAUCAAUAUUACCCUCUUCCAGCUCCCAUUCUUCCUUUUGUGUGAAGAGGCUAUCCACUUCUGCCCCCGCAGAACUGAUUAUUCAGCAAAGCUCUGAACCUCUGGGUCAAACCUGUUAUUUCAGAUUGCCAGAAAUAUGUACCGUUCGCACUGGCAAAUGGGAGUCUUCACUAGCAGCAGACCUGUAGACUGAGGUUCAGUUUUUGACCAAACGCAGUUACCAACACAGCCCUAAAGGGUCAUGUGAUGCACAGAUCUCACCUGCUCUCCACUAGGAGGUGACAAAACAGCUUUUUGUGAAAAUGCAUUUUGUGGCCUACACUCCACAGUACACUCAUGGAAAUAAACAUUUAAAACUUUGAUUUGCACAAACUUGCUUCAUUUAAUACAUAGUAUUUAUGCAGAGGUAACUCGUGGUUCUCCCCUCUGACUCUGAUAGACCCAGCUCU
rnacentral:lncRNA from 1 species